AACGCCGGUACAAGUCAAAUGAUAAAUAAGUACCUACCCUCGCGAGAUUUCGAAAUGUUGAAAGGAACAAGAACACUCUACAUGUUGCGUAUACAGAACGUUCUGAUAGAUCGCCAAGCUUCCAUUUUUCACGUGAACGGUUGCUUCAUUUACUAAAAGCGUGUUUCGUAUAACAAGAGAACUCCGCCUUGCUGCUGAUUGUCCUUUUUUAUGAUGUACCAUAUCGUCUACGAUCUAUUUGUCAAGUUAUACCUGGUCCGUGCAUCAUAUAAUGAACCCAUCCAGGACUUUGCUGAACUCCCAAAUUUCUCCAUUCAGUUUCUGUCAUGAGAUGAGUCUUUGGAACAUGCCUGGCUAGAUCAACAGGCAGUAUUACAUGCCUGUUGAAUUUAACUGAUUGUUACAAGAUAUAUAUUUUGCACAAAUGAUAUGGCCUCUUAUUUAAAUUAUAAAAAAGAGAAUAUUGAAUUUGAUCUACCGGCAUUUUACUUGGAAUUAAAAUGUGUCAAAAGUUAAACAAUCUAAAAAUAAAAUAAAAUAAAAGUGAUGUCAACUAACCUUAAAAUAAAAAAAAAAACUUUUUUAACCUAAAAGCCUUUACAUAUUAUACUACAUUGCUUUGUAAUGAAUGUCUUAAUUGUUUGAUAUAAUUGAAGAAAAUUCUAUUCUAAAAAA